GAUGAAGAACGCAGCGAAAUGCGAUAAGUAGUGUGAAUUGCAGAAUUCAGUGAAUCAUCGAAUCUUUGAACGCACAUUGCGCCCGCCAGUAUUCUGGCGGGCAUGCCUGUUCGAGCGUCAUUUCAACCAUCAAGCGCCUCGCUUGUGUUGGGGCCCUGCGGCUGCCGCAGGCCCCUAAAUCCAGUGGCGGGCUCGUCGUCGUACCGAGUGCAGUAAACAUCCUCGCUCAGGGAACCCGACGGGUGCCGGCCGUGAAACCCCCCCUCCUCAAGGUUGACCUCGGAUCAGGUAGGAAUACCCGCUGAACUUAAGCAUAUCAAUAAGCGGAGGA
rnacentral:misc_RNA from 1 species